rnacentral:rRNA from 1 species
GACGAACGCUGGCGGCGCGUCUAACACAUGCAAGUCGAGCGAUGAAAUUUUAACCGAUCUCUUCGGAGAGAAGAUAAAAUGGAUUAGCGGCGGACGGGUGAGUAACACGUGAGAAACCUGCCUUUCACAAGGGGAUAGCCUCGGGAAACCGGGAUUAAUACCCUAUGACACAUUUCCUUCGCAUGGAAGAAAUGUUAAAACUCCGGUGGUGAAAGAUGGUCUCGCGCCUGAUUAGCUAGUUGGUGGGGUAACGGCCCACCAAGGCCAUGAUCAGUAACCGGCCUGAGAGGGUGAACGGUCACAGUGGAACUGAGACACGGUCCAAACUCCUACGGGAGGCAGCAGUGGGGAAUAUUGCACAAUGGAGGAAACUCUGAUGCAGCGACGCCGCGUGAGCGAUGAAGGCUUUCGAGUCGUAAAGCUCUGUCCUAUGGGAAGAUAAUGACGGUACCAUAGGAGGAAGCCCCGGCUAACUACGUG